rnacentral:rRNA from 1 species
UACAGAGGGUGCGAGCGUUAAUCGGAAUUACUGGGCGUAAAGCGUGCGUAGACGGUUAUUUAAGUCGGGUGUGAAAGCCCCGGGCUCAACCUGGGAAUUGCAUUCGAGACUGAAUAGCUAGGGUACGGUAGAGGGAAGUGGAAUUUCCGGUGUAGCGGUGAAAUGCGUAGAUAUCGGGAGGAACAUCAGUGGCGAAAGCGGCUUCCUGGACCAGUACCGACGUUCAGGCACGAAAGCGUGGGGAGCAAACAGG